GGGAGUUUGGCCGAGUGGUUAAGGCGGUGAGAAAAUUCCCCCCCUCCCCGGAUUCCGCGCUAACGACCUGUAGCUGUGUUUAGGACCUCGUCCAUGAACGAUUCUUCCCGCAGUGGGAAACCGCGCAGGUUCGAAUCCUGCAGCUCUCA